rnacentral:rRNA from 2 species
AGUGACUAAGCGUAGACGGUGGAUGCCUUGGCAGUCAGAGGCGAUGAAGGACGUAUUAACUUGCGAAAAGCCCAGAUAAGGCAGUAAAAGCCAUUUGAAUCUGGGAUAUCCGAAUGGGGAAACCCACCUGCAUAAGCAGGUAUCUUAGCGUGAAUACAUAGCGCUAAGAGGCGAACUCGGGGAACUGAAACAUCUAAGUACCCGAAGGAAAAGAAAUCAAUUGAGAUUCCGGCAGUAGCGGCGAGCGACCCCGGAUUAGCCCUUAAGCAGACUUGGCGUUAGGUGAACAGGUUGGAAAACCUGGCAAUAAAGGGUGA